rnacentral:lncRNA from 1 species
UCUUUUGGGAAAUGGAUUCUUUGAGAUUGAGUACUUAAGUUAAUUUAAUAUGUCUUCCUUUAAUGUUACUGUGUCAGAAUGUGACACCCGAUCCAAUAAUAUCAUGUCGGAACGUGACAUCCGAUCCAAUAAUAUCGUGCCGGCUAGUGGCACCCGAUCUAACAAUAUAGUUAAUUCAUCAUUCUUUCCACUUAACAAUAUUUCAUUACACCUUCUUUAUUCAAGACAUCACCGUGAUAGAACAAAUUCAAGAUUAUGGAUUUCACGGUCUUGGGAUUACACACCAAUCACAACAACACAUGAAUCAUCCAAGCCACAACAAUGAAGUACACAGAAAAUUUCACAGAAUUACUCAAUGACUAUCAAUCACUAUUAAGAGUCUCUCUAUCAGAUAGAAUAAAUCAUAACUUACCUCCAGCGAAGAAUCGAAAUCAAGCAAGCUAAUUCCCUAAUGCUUUUCCUUACCUCCAGCGAAGAAUCGAAAUCAAGCAAGC